CCUANGGGAGGCUGCAGUCGAGAAUCUUCGGCAAUGGGCGCAAGCCUGACCGAGCGACGCCGCGUGUGGGAUGAAGGCCUUCGGGUUGUAAACCGCUGUCAGAGGGGAGGAAUGGGCGGAGGGUAAUCUCUUCGUUUUGACCUAUCCUCAGAGGAAGUACGGGCUAAGUUCGUGCCAGCAGCCGCGGUAAGACGAACCGUACGAACGUUAUUCGGAAUCACUGGGCUUAAAGGGUGCGUAGGCGGCGCUGUAAGUUGGGUGUGAAAUCCCUCGGCUCAACCGAGGAACUGCGCCCAAAACUACAGCACUUGAGGGAGAUAGAGGUGAGCGGAACUUAGGGUGGAGCGGUGAAAUGCGUUGAUAUCCUAAGGAACGCCAGUGGCGAAAGCGGCUCACUGGGUCUCUUCUGACGCUGAGGCACGAAAGCUAGGGUAGCGAACGGGAUUAGAUACCCCANUANUC
rnacentral:rRNA from 1 species